rnacentral:rRNA from 1 species
GACGUAGGGCGCGAGCGUUGUCCGGAUUUAUUGGGCGUAAAGAGCUCGUAGGCGGCUUGUUGCGUCGGCUGUGAAAUCCCAUGGCUCAACUGUGGGCUUGCAGCCGAUACGGGCGGGCUAGAGUUCGGUAGGGGAGACUGGAAUUCCUGGUGUAGCGGUGAAAUGCGUAGAUAUCGAGAGGAACACCAGUGGCGAAGGCGAGUCCCUGGACAACGACUGACACUGAGGCACGAAAGCUAGGGGAGCAAACAGG